GUCCCUAGAGAGACCGGUGUUGAUACCGGCCACACUUGGAAACUUGAGAACACGGCCAAGACUCAUAGCGGCAGGGCAUGGACUGUGCGUAAUUUCGCACCAAUUCGUUGCGAAGUUCUGACUGCAGGCAAUCUCCGCCGUGAGGUGAUGACAGUCUUCGCGUUGCUAAAAACUGUAUUUUAGGCAUGGGCAGGUAGCUGAAGGUGAUCGGUACCUGCAUGAAAAAAGCGCCGAGCUAACUACGUGCAUGCAGCGCGGUAAUACGUUGGUGCGCAAGACGUGAUCAGGUACUGUUGGGUGUAAAGAGCUGGUAGGCGUUUUGUCGCUUUUGCUGUGAAAUCGAGAGACUCAGCAUCGGGCGUGCAGUGUGUACGUGCAGAUUAGAGUGCGGUAGUGUAGAUUGGAAUUCCUUGCGUAGCGGUGGAAUGCGCAGAUAUCUGGAGGAACUCCGAUGGCGAAGGCAGAUCUCUGGGCCGUAACUGACGCUGAGGAGCGAAAGGGUGUGGAGCAAACAGGCUUCGAUUUCGCUGGUAGUCCAUCCCGUAAACGUUGGGAACUAGUUGUCGGGACCACUGCACGGUCUCCGUGACGCAGCUAACGCAUUAAGUUCCCCGCCUGGGGAGUACGGCCGCAAGGCUAAAACUCAAAGGAAUUGACGGGGACCCGCACAAGCGGCGGAGCAUGCGGAUUAAUUCGAUGCAACGCGAAGAACCUUACCAAGGCUUGACAUAUACGAGAACGGACCAGAAAUGGUCAACUCUUUGGACACUCGUAAACAGGUGGUGCAUGGUUGUAGUCAGCUCGUGUCGUGAGAUGUUGGGUUAAGUCCCGCAACGAGCGCAACCCUCGUUGUAUGUUGCCAGCAAGUAAUGGUGGGAACUCAUGGGAUACUGCCGGGGUCAACUCGGAGGAAGGUGGGGAUGACGUCAAAUCAUCAUGCCCCUUAUUUCUUGGGCUUCAUCCAUGCUACAAUGGCCGGUACAAAGGGCUGCAAUACCGUGAGGUGGAGCGAAUCCCAAAAAGCCGGUCCCAGUUCGGAUUGAGGUCUGCAACUCGACCUCAUGAAGUCGGAGCUUUUAGUAAUCGCAGAUCAGCAACGCUGCGGUGAAUACGUUCCCGGGUCUUGUACACACCGCCUGCCAAGUCAUGAAAGUCGGUAACACCUGAAGCCGGUGGCCCAACCCUUGGGAGGGAGCCGUAGAAGGGGGAUCGGUAAUAGACAGUGAGCGACAAACUUCGACUAUCC
rnacentral:rRNA from 1 species